GGGGAUAUAGCUCAGUUGGUAGAGUGCUUGCCUUGCAUGCACAAAGCCCUGGGUUUAAUACCCAGCACCA
rnacentral:tRNA from 1 species